GGCGGACGGGUGAGUAACACGUGGGUAACCUACCCAUCAGAGGGGGAUAACACUUGGAAACAGGUGCUAAUACCGCAUAACAGUUUAUGCCGCAUGGCAUAAGAGUGAAAGGCGCUUUCGGGUGUCGCUGAUGGAUGGACCCGCGGUGCAUUAGCUAGUUCGGUGAGGUAACGGCUCACCAAGGCCACGAUGCAUAGCCGACCUGAGAGGGUGAUCGGCCACACUGGGACUGAGACACGGCCCAGACUCCUACGGGAGGCAGCAGUAGGGAAUCUUCGGCAAUGGACGAAAGUCUGACCGAGCAAGCCGGUGAGUGAAGAAGGUAACGGGUCGUAAAACUCUGUGUAGAGAAGAACAAGGACGUUAGUAACUGAACGUCCCCUGACGGUAUCUAACCAGAAAGCCACGGCUAACUACGUGCCAGCAGCCGCGGUAAUACGUAGGUGGCAAGCGUGUCCGGAUUUCAUUGGGCCGUACAGCGAGCGCAGGCGGCCUCUUAAGUCUGAUGUGAAAGCCCCCGGCUCAACCGGGAGGGUCAUCUGGGAAACUUGGGAGACUUUGAGUGCCAGAAGAGGAGAGUGGAAUUCCCAUGUGUAACCGGUGAAAUGCGUAGAUAUAUGGAGGAACACCAGUGGCGAAGGCGGCUCUCUGGUCUGUAACUGACGCUGAGGCUCGAAAGCUGGGGAGCAAACAGGAUUAGAUACCCUGGUAGUCCACGCCGUAAACGAUCGAGUGCUAAGUGUUGGAGGGUUUCCGCCCUUCAGUGCUGCAGCUCAAUACGCAUUAAGCACUCC
rnacentral:rRNA from 1 species